CUGCGGAGGGAAGAACAGUAUUUUGGCUUAAAGCACAGUCCUCCUGAUAGGUCCUGCUCACAGAGAUAUUGCUCUGUAAAAUGCUCGUUGACUGCUGCAAUAGAUGAAAAGCAUUUUGGAGCGAGCGGCCCUGUCAGAGCUGUCCAAACUUCUGUCAUCCAGAGCCAUAUGGACAACUUAGGCUCGUUGCUCUUGUUUGUUAAGUGAGUGGGCAAUACAUGGUGUCCUUAUGUAAUAUUAUCAAAUUUUAACUAUAUCUUUCUGAAUCAAGACAUUUAAAUCUCUUGCUUGGUCAGUAAAAAGUAAUAGUUUUGCACGGGAUGAGUAGCAGCUGUAUUUUCUGUUUUUUUCUGGAUUCAGGCCAGGACACAGAACUGAAAUCAGACUGGUAGUGCUGCCGAUCAUGCCCUGUUCAAGGACAGCUUCUCUUGGGCCUCUCCAGCAUUCAGCAUUCCUGAACACGGAGCAGUCCCAUGUCCUGCAUCACAAAGGCACUGGGGGUCCCCAUGAGCAGAGAAGCUGUGCUUCCUUCACAUGAAGAGUCCCUGACAAACUUGUUAAACUUUUUAAUCAUUUUCUAAUGCUUACAGAGAAUUGAUAGGUGAACUGACCACAGACAUAUGGGUCUCAUUAUCUUCAGUUUUUAUUUAGUAUACACAGAUCUACCGCUCCAGUGUCUGAGCACUGUUAGCUGGCUGAGUGAACCUGACCAAGAUAUAUGAGCUCAGGUAAAUGUUCUGAAUACUGCCUGUCUGCUACACUUUUCAUUUCUUCCCUUAAGCCUUACUUUAUUCACUAGGGAUAAAAGCUAAUGAUUGUUAGGCUGCUGGGAACUCAAGACCUUUCUCAACUGGGCUGAUGUCAUGUCACACCUUAACCCUGGGUUAUGUGCACCUAGAGGAGGAAGCAUCUUUCUAGUUUUGUACAGUGGCACAUCAAAUGACAACUGUAAUCAGCUGCUUACAUAUCCAUGUUGGAUGAGGUAGGCUGUCCUAGGUGACUUCUAAUCAGUUAAUAAACCAGUUUUUUUUGCAGUAGCUGCUAUCUUAGGUGUCUCUUCUCCCUGCAAAGUCACAAUUCUAGAAAGAAUCAUUCAAAAAGUGCUCACAAAUCAAAUGCCAACGACUAUUCCAUUUAAGGAAAAAAAAAAAACAUGUUACCAGUGUGCUUUGUUAGGUCUGAAAUGGGUGCGCUUACACUGGCCUGCGGAGUUUGUGCUGGCUUCCCUGAAGGCGUUGAAGACAUUGAUGAGAGUGAAGUGAUCUCCUGCAGGAUGUGAGAAUUUUCGCCAGCAAGUAAGAGCAAUCUCUUCUGUUCCAGAAGUCUGGACUUAAAGAGCCAAAGAUACUCAUUCAGGUGAAAAAGCAGAAUGUGAAUAACGCAAAGUUUGCCUUUGGGUUGCCCCUGUGAACAGCCUUGGAAAGUCUACACGGGUUUGGAGGUGGCACAAAACAUGCAGCAAGAGAUGAGUUGGGAGUACCUGUUACCAUGGCUGCGAUGGUCAGAACCUGAAGCCCUUUCUGUGUGAUAAAAUGAAUGCAGAAGUAUUACUCUUGACGCACCAGGAAGUGGCUGAUCUAGAGGUUUGCCCAAAGUUCUACAGGGAAUGAAUAUUGAAGAGAGGAUUGAAAGGAGAACCAAUGAAUAGAGAACAACUCUUUCAGCUGUUGGUGUGAACGAUGUGCUAGCAAUCUGUAAAGCUUUCCGCAGAGGACUGGGAAAUGCUCCGGUCUAGGGAAGCAGAUAAGUGUUAAAUAGUUCGUGUUAAUUUAUGUUAUUUGCAUUAUAAUUAACGUUACAGUUUUAAUAUUUAUAUAAUAUUCUGUAUAUGUUCUUUACAUUAAAAUUGCCAUGACAGUGUUACAAUGCUAUAAAUGACAUGCUAUUGUGCUCUUUCAAAUUUCAUUUAUCAGUACGUUCUGAGAGGCUGUAUAUUCUUUUAUGUCUUUAGCUGCUAUCUGCAAAUGUAUCUGAAACACACUGAAACCAUUUUCUCUCACGCCACUGACAAAAAUUAACAGAUGAGCAUUUUAAAUCUCUAUAUAAUAGGUUUUCUCUGCUAAUAUUUUCCUGUUAAUUUUCUUUUUUAUCUAGGUUGUUUUUUUUUUUUUUUUGAAGGCACGUGAAGGUAGACAUCCUGAUAAAGUGGGUUUUACUCCUCUGGUGGCUGUUCCUCAGGAAGGACACAGUCUUCUAAUUCCCUGCAACCCUGGUGGAGCUGCCUGAACUCACAAUGAAGGGGGAUAGCAUUGACUUACAGGCUGUCGGGAGAGGAUGGUGAUUUCCAGGCAGACAAGAGCCUGGUGGCAGCUAAGUCCCUGAGAUCACAAGGUUCUUCUCAGGAAGCUGGAGGUCUGCAGGUCCUGUAGCUCCCACUGGCUGCAGGUGGAGGACGUGGUCUCGUUACUGAAUGGAUAAUUAAUGAUGCCUGUCAGAUGGGUGUUAUCUACACGUUUUGCAUCGUCUCGAAUGCAAAGAGGUUAGUCUUUUACAUGGUACAUUUCUGAAUCCUCGAGAUAAAAUAGUGUUGCUGCUUAUUGGACACUUACUUGCCUGAAAGGACAGUGACAGUGGUGUGGUUUCAGAAAACUAAAGAACAGUGAAAAUGUCUGAAAAAUGGGGAAUUAUAUGAAACCCUG